CAGUAGCCGCGGGAAUACGUAGGGUGCAAGCGUUAAUCGGAAUUACUGGGCGUAAAGCGUGCGCAGGCGGUUUGUUAAGACAGAUGUGAAAUCCACGGGCUUAACCUGGGAACUGCAUUUGUGACUGGCGAGCUAGAGUAUGGCAGAGGGGGGUGGAAUUCCGCGUGUAGCAGUGAAAUGCGUAGAUAUGCGGAGGAACACCGAUGGCGAAGGCAGCCCCCUGGGCCAAUACUGACGCUCAUGCACGAAAGCGUGGGGAGCAAACAGGAUUAGAUACCCCCGUAGUCCCUGUCUCUUAUAC
rnacentral:rRNA from 1 species